rnacentral:rRNA from 1 species
UACGGGAGGCAGCAGUGGGGAAUAUUGCACAAUGGGCGCAAGCCUGAUGCAGCAACGCCGCGUGCGGGAGGACGGCCCUAUGGGUUGUAAACCGCUUUUGCGAGGGAGCAAUAAGGUCUACGUGUAGGCUGAUGAGAGUACCUUACGAAUAAGCAUCGGCUAACUCCGUGCCAGCAGCCGCGGUAAU